rnacentral:tRNA from 1 species
ACCCUAAUAUGGUGGUUAUGAAACUCGGCUUGUAAUCGAGUGGGCUCGGGUUCGAAUACCGAAUAAGGCA